rnacentral:rRNA from 1 species
UACGGGGGGGCAAGCGUUGUUCGGAAUUACUGGGCGUAAAGGGCUCGUAGGCGGCCAACUAAGUCAGACGUGAAUCCUCGGCUUAACCGGGAACUGCAUCGUGAUACUGGAUGGCUCGAGUUUGGGAGAGGGAUGACGGAAUUCCAGGUGUAGCGGUGAAAUGCGUAGAUAUCUGGAGGAACACCGGUGGCGAAGGCGGUUCUCUGGGCCUUAC